AAGAUCAGAUGGGGGAGAAAUGUCACAGAUCAACCACUCCAAGACCGAGCCUUAUGGUGCGAGCAAAGAAAAUUGGGCUGGGAAAGCUACGUGUUCCAGGUCAACAUUUCCAAUCCCAUCUAGAAGCCCAGACAUAUUUACUUGCCUCCUCCACCAGUUGCUCCAUUUCAUCUGCUCUGCUCUGUAGCGAGGGACACUGCAAACACAUCUCAAGGCGCAGAAAUACCUGAAGCUGACACCUACACAGAAACAGAUUGACAUCAUACUGUUGUCGGAGAGUUUUGCUGGUCUUUAGGAGAUGACUUCGGACUCUGUCCAAGCAGGCCACCUGCAAAUACACAGAAACAUAGCAUAGGGGCUCCAAGAUGUUCGAUAGAGAGUACCACCCUUCAACUAUGGCAGGAUUCCAGCCACCUGUGCGGGACAGUUCUUGCUGGACCCACUCUGGGACUGAAGGCUCUUCUGGACAG